CUAAGUUAUCUUAUUGAUUGAAGAUUUUGAAUAUAGUCAGUUCAGAAACAGAAUUAUUUUCCCCAAGGGUAGAUAUUCACAACACUGCUGACAAGUCUCUUUUGACUAAACCAAAUUUCUCUGCAGCUCACAGUCUAUGUAGAAGGCAAUGGCUAUAGAGGAGAUGAAGAGGUCUGUCUUCCAACUUCUGGUCAAACAGCUGCUUAACUGCUAACUUCAAGUUGAGAAAAUCAAGGCAGAGAGAAGUUAAAUGACUUGUCUAUGAUCACAUAGCUACGAAUUGUCUGAGGCUGGAUUUAAGCUCAGUUCUUCUUGAUUCCAGGGUACUCUAUUUACUUCCAGGUGGAUAAAAUAGGAGAUUCUUCACACCUGGCCUCUUAAAAGGAAUUCCCUCAAUAGUCAGUCAAGAAAUGGGCUUGAUUAUCACCUUCCCUGUCCCCAAAUGCCUUAUGAUCAUCCUGAUUCAGGUUCUUGUGGUCAUUGUGACUGUUUUGAAUGAAGAUUAACUAGUCAACCCAACACAGAAGAAUCCCCACUGGCAAAAUAGGAGCACCCUAAUUUCUGCUGGGAGUUUUUAAAGAAGUAAUGCCUUUGUUCAAGUAGAGGUGGAUAAAAUAGUGUCUGUUUGGGUCUCAGUUGUGGUGACUGAUUAAGCAACUGAACUGUGAAUAUGGACAUCAUGAGUUCUUAGGAAUUACAUAUGGUAGACUCUAUGAAAGUUAUUAUGGGUAAAACAAAAUGGAAGCCCUCAAAGUUGUCUAAACUAUCU
rnacentral:lncRNA from 1 species